GACGAACCGUGCGAACGUUAUUCGGAAUCACUGGGCUUAAAGCGCGUGUAGGCGGGAGGGCACGUCCGUCGCUGAAAUCCCCCGGCUCAACCGGGGAACGGGCGCGGAUACGACCUUCCUGGAGGGGCGUAGGGGGACCUGGAACUUCCGGUGGAGCGGUGAAAUGCGUUGAGAUCGGAAGGAACGCCCGUGGCGAAAGCGAGGUCCUGGACGCCUACUGACGCUGAAACGCGAAAGCCAAGGGGCAGGCGAACGG
rnacentral:rRNA from 1 species